AACCGAGUCUUAACUGGGCGAAUAGUUGCAAGGUAUAGACCCGAAACCCGGUGAUCUAGCCAUGGGCAGGUUGAAGGUUGGGUAACACUAACUGGAGGACCGAACCGACUAAUGUUGAAAAAUUAGCGGAUGACUUGUGGCUGGGGGUGAAAGGCCAAUCAAACCGGGAGAUAGCUGGUUCUCCCCGAAAGCUAUUUAGGUAGCGCCUCGUGAACUCAUCUUCGGGGGUAGAGCACUGUUUCGGCUAGGGGGCCAUCCCGGCUUACCAAACCGAUGCAAACUCCGAAUACCGAAGAAUGUUAUCACGGGAGACACACGGCGGGUGCUAACGUCCGUCGUGAAGAGGGAAACAACCCAGACCGCCAGCUAAGGUCCCAAAGUCAUGGUUAAGUGGGAAACGAUGUGGGAAGGCAUAGACAGCCAGGAUGUUGGCUUAGAAGCAGCCAUCAUUUAAAGAAAGCGUAAUAGCUCACUGGUCGAGUCGGCCUGCGCGGAAGAUGUAACGGGGCUAAACCAUGCACCGA
rnacentral:rRNA from 1 species